UAGGGAAUCUUCGGCAAUGGACGAAAGUCUGACCGAGCAACGCCGCGUGAGUGAAGAAGGUUUUCGGAUCGUAAAACUCUGUUGUUAGAGAAGAACAAGGACGUUAGUAACUGAACGUCCCCUGACGGUAUCUAACCAGAAAGCCACGGCUAACUACGUGCCAGCAGCCGCGGUAAUACGUAGGUGGCAAGCGUUGUCCGGAUUUAUUGGGCGUAAAGCGAGCGCAGGCGGUUUCUUAAGUCUGAUGUGAAAGCCCCCGGCUCAACCGGGGAGGGUGAUUGGAAACUGGGAGACUUGAGUGCAGAAGAGGAGAGUGGAAUUCCAUGGGUAGCGGUGAAAUGCGUAGAUAUAUGGAGGAACACCAGUGGCGAAGGCGGCUCUCUUGUCUGUAACUGACGCUGAGGCUCGAAAGCGUGGGGAGCAAACAGG
rnacentral:rRNA from 1 species